rnacentral:rRNA from 1 species
AGGACACUCUAUACGGAGUUACAAAGGACGACAUUAGACGAAUCAUCUGGAAAGAUGAAUCAAAGAAGGUAAUAAUCCUGUAGUCGAAAAUGUUGUCUCUCUUGAGUGGAUCCUGAGUACGACGGAGCACGUGAAAUUCCGUCGGAAUCUGGGAGGACCAUCUCCUAAGGCUAAAUACUCUCUAGUGACCGAUAGUGAACCAGUACCGUGAGGGAAA